GAGGAAAGAGGGAGGCGUGCUUAACACAUGCAAGUCGAACGAUGAAGCCUAUCUGGCUGGGCGGAUUAGUGGCGAACUGGUGAGUAACACGUGAGUGACCUGCCCUUGAUCCGUGGAUAAGUCCGUGAAACUGGGUCUAAUACCGGAUAGGAGCGCUGUGGUCAUGACGGGUGCUGGAAAGAUCUUGUGGGUUUGUUUGUGCUCGCGGCUUGUUGGCUUGUUGUGGAGGUAAUGGCUAACCUAGGCGACGACGGGUAGCCGGCCUGGGAGGGUGACCGGCCACACUGGGACUGAGACACCACCCAGACCCCACAGGGAGGCAGCAGUGGGGAAUAUUGCACAAUGGGCGAAAGCCUGAUGCAGCGCAGCCGCGUGGGGGAUGACGGCCUUCGGGUUGUAAGAAAAAAUCAGCAGGGAAGAAGCGAAAGUGACGGUACCUGCAGAAGAAGCACCGGCUAACUACGUG
rnacentral:rRNA from 1 species